ACUACAACAAUAUUUAUGAAGACACUCUCAGAGCUUGAAGUAUGAUUCUUAUAUAAGAGCACAGCUACCUAUUGCAGAUUAUACGUAGAAACAUUUACAAGGUCGAAAAUGAAUUCUACAUUCUGUCUUGUCAUGCUGAACCUUUUUAUGAUUACAUCCGGGAUUGUUGGUGAUAGAGUUGCAACCUGUAAAUUCUUGUGCCGACAACAACAUGCAAAUUCGAUUGAUAUUUUCAAGUGUAUGGCAGAUAAUGGUUGUAAAUUUGUUCCAUUGUACGAACUAAAGCAAGGAAAUGAUUUUAGAUAUUAAUUGCAAUAAUUGAAAACUGAAAAUGGAAAGAAGCUGCCGAAAUUCGUAUUAACAUUAAACAGAUCAUUGGAUCGUAUUUCGGGAGAUGGGUUAUUUUCGUGAUUAUAGUGUCAAAUAUAUAAUAUACGCAUAA